rnacentral:rRNA from 1 species
UACGGAGGGUGCAAGCGUUAUCCGGAUUCACUGGGUUUAAAGGGUGCGUAGGCGGGUAUGUAAGUCAGCGGUGAAAUCCCCGAGCUUAACUUGGGAACUGCCGUUGAUACUAUAUAUCUUGAAUGUCGUGGAGGUUAGCGGAAUAUGUCAUGUAGCGGUGAAAUGCUUAGAUAUGACAUAGAACACCCAUUGCGAAGGCAGCUCGCUACACAUAUAUUGACUCUGAGGCACGAAAGCGUGGGGAUCAAACAGG